rnacentral:tRNA from 1 species
CGGGACGUAGCGAAGUCUGGUAUCGCACCCGCUUUGGGGGCGGGGGAUCGCCGGUUCGAAUCCGGCCGUCCCGA